rnacentral:rRNA from 1 species
GACGAACGCUGGCGGCGUGCUUAAUACAUGCAAGUCGAGCGAACAGACGAGGAGCUUGCUACUCUGACGUUAGCGGCGGACGGGAGAGUAAAAUGUGGAUAACCUACCUAUAAGACUGGGAUAACCUCGGGAAACCGGAGCUAAUACCGGAUAAUAUAUUGAACCGCAUGGUUGAAUAGUGAAAGACGGUUUUGCUGUCACUUAUAGAUGGAUCCGCGCCGCUUUAGCUAGUUGGUAAGGUAACGGCUUACGAAGGCCAUGAUGCGUGGCCGACCGGAGAGCGUGAUGGCCCACACUGUGACUGAGCCGCGGUCCAGGCUCCGACGGGAGGCAGCAGCUGCGAAUCUUCCGCAAUGGGCGAAAGCCUGACCGAUCGACGCCGCCUUGGUGAUGAAGCUCUUCGGGUCGUAAAACUCUCUUAUGAUUGAAGAACGAUUGUGUAAGUAGCUAUGCACGUCUUGACGGUACCUGAUCAAGAAGCCCCGGCUAACUACGUG